ensembl:lincRNA
GCCUCAUUAUGAUGAACAAAGUUGAUCAACAAUGUCAGUGUUUCAGGUAAGGCCACAUUAAUAGGGUCAUUUUGAGCAGGUGUGACAAAAACUUGCACUAUAGAGCUUUAAACAUGUCUCAUCAUUGCUUUCUGAGGUAAGCAUUUACAUUCCAUUUCAGUGUAACAGUUUAUAGAGGUUUGGUUCUGUUGUUAUGUAAGUAAAAUCUUAAAAUGAACCUGUUUUUAUACAGAUUGCUGUUGGUUUGUUUGACUCACUCUGUUGUUGGGUGUUUUCCUGGACUGUCUUUUGGAGACAUCGCUGGAAAUGAACCAAAGAUCAAAUUGCAAGCACUGGAAGUUUUCAACAUUGCUGAUUCUUCCAUCCAAAAGCCAAUAAAAGGCACUCUACUAAACAAUUUAGUACAGUUUAACAGCAAAUAUCAGUGGCCCAGAGUCAACUCAGCCCCAUACAGUCAGAAAAGCGAUGGCAAUGCCAAAAACCCAAGCUUUAGACUUACUGAACCAAAAGAUCCUGCAUAUGUUAUGAAUUACCAAAAUAAGAUCUUGUCCAGCAGCAGAAAUAAUCCUGUUGAUUUGUCUAGCGUCAAAUAUAAUAAAGGACAUGAUGCCAAAACAAGCUAUGCUUUCCAAACAGUCCAACAGGAACUCAAUCCCUUCACAGGGAGCCAAUGGAGCUCUAGUGAUACAAAUCUGGGCUUAAGGCUGGUGAAGAUAGAAGGUCCGGUGGACAGAAUGCAUGCAGGAAAUGUGUAUAGAUCUGAGACAUUUGGAUAUCAGCCUAUUUCUAAAUCAGAAAUGCAUUCAGGCAGUCAACAACCAUUACGACUCAAUGAACCCUAUUUGAGGGAAGAUAUCUCCGUCCAACCAGCACAUGCUGAAAGAAUCUCAUCUAAUUACAUGUCCAGAAGCUCCAAUGCAAACCAUAAUAUGAGGUUCAAAAGUGAUGCAAAUGCCAUGUUUGAUCAAUCCAAUCAAAAUGGGCCGAGGAGGGUCAUGCCAAUUAUAGAAGAUUUAUCUUUUCUAGAAGCAAAUCAACAAGUGCACAAAUCAUCGCCACAUGUUUUUUCUGCUGGGACUGCAGCCCUUUCUCAAACUUCCCUGGGGAAUGUGAGAGAUUCAUCUCUUUCUAAGAUUCCCACAGUUCCAAGACUAAUACCUUUAGUUGCAAAAAGGCCAAAUUCAAAUAGAGGUGACCUAAUCUUUCCUUUAAAAAAACUUGUGAUGUUUUCCUCUGAGCCUGAUCAGAUGAAGCAUUCAGAUUCUAGAAGGGUCACCAUUCCACAAGCAAAUCCACAAAACAGCUUAGAGUAUGGAAAUACGAAGUCUUAUACAAACAGCUACACCCUAAAGGACAUUCAAUUGACUUCUGCGCAAAAUGGUUACCAAAACAUUGGACAAAGUUAUCAGGAUGUUGAACCUAUUCAAACACGUCACACUCAGAAGUAUGAUGAAGUGGCUUCAGGUUUAUCUGUUGACAUCCCGUCAACAACCAAUGGUGUCCUUUCUUACAAACAAUUUCUGUCAGAUGAGAAUAACAUCCGAAGCCAGCUUUCUGCAUUAUCUAAACCAUCAAUGCAAGGCACGUAUUUGACCUCCCAAAUACAGUUUCCAAAGAACACUGUGUUAUUUUUGGAACGUGAUAAGAGUGUUAAUCUACCAGACAUCACAAAUGAUUCACUAAUGAAGACAAGUCAGCAUAGCACGCGGCAUAGGACGGAUCUGAAUCCUUCAGGCCAAAGUAUAACCCAUUCGUUAUUUGUUAAAAAGUUUCCGGUGCCAAGUCUCGUGCCAGGCAACACUAUAAAGAGUGCUUACAGUGUUAGUCCAUCCGCGUCUGGCACAUAUAAAGAUUCAGCUGUAUCCACAGAUCAAAACCAUCCAUACUAUAUAUCUCCUAAAAAGCCAUAUGCUUUUAAAGGUUUUGUCCCAACAUCUCUACAAAAAUCCAAAGUGCACUUUGAACAGAAACCUAUCACAAACUCUUUAUUGAAUAUGCAAUAUGUUGCUGCUCAUCCAAGUACCAUUCAAGAGCCCUUAAUUUCUGACCAGUUUAAAAAAAUGCUUUUCCAGUUUGAGGACUUCAAAACAAGCCAAGACAAACAACCAGAUCCUGAUCUGACAGACUCCUUUAAUAACAGACUACAGCUCUCCUUUAAAGAGGGUGGAAGUAACAUGAAGUAUGAUGUUCAAGGUCAAGCUGAAGCCAGGAGUGGCACUGAAUCUUCAAAUAAUGGAGCAGCUUUUCUGCAAAAACACCUUAAAAAGGCAUACAAGGAAUUACCACUUGAGGAAGUUCAGUCAGAAACAUCCAAGAGGUGGACUUCAGCCUUACACAACCUAAGUCAAAUGCCAAAAGUGGGAUCCUCCAUCAGCAGGUUUGUUGGUUCUAAUGCACACUUCUCAACCACUAAAUUUUCCAACAAUCAUGAGAAUCCUAAAUCAGAGAUUAUUCAACCAAUUUACAAGACUCCUCUUAUUAACAAAGCAGUUGCUGUUGUCCAUCCAAUUCACAUGUAUAAAUACAAGGAACCGGAAGCUCCAUUAAAUUCAGCUAAGGAAAUUCUGGGGAAUAGAAACCCAGCUGAAGUAACCCAAUCAGAUAUUAGUGAAAAUGCCAUGAGAUCAAGUCCGACAAGUAGUGUUGUGAUUGGGAAGCUGGUUGAAGUUACAGAAAAAGGAAAAGGAUCUGGAGAAAAUUCAUACUUUCAAAAUUCUUAUUCAGCGCCAUUUACUCAAUCUACAUCAUACAGAUCUACUCAUCUAAAGAGUCACAAAGUGAAUAGAUUUUCCACUAUAUACAGAUCUACUAUUAAACAGUUUGACCCGAUAAAUGAAACAAACAUUGACUUCUAUGCUAUUGACGCAUCCCAGUCAUCAAGUCCCACAAGCAGCUUUGUAAUCGGACGGUUAAUCAAUACCUUUAACAAUGCCUCCACCAAAACAAAUCCCAAAGCAUCUUCAACAAAAACGGCUCUGAACAGUUUUAAGCCAUUUCGAUUUUCAGAUAUAGCUGGUAGUGCUUCUUUCACUAAUGCUAAGCUACAUUCUGCUGCCAUCACGCCAAAGGAAGUUGCGGAUGUCACAAGAGUUUCAAACCACUCUGAUUCAACAGUGAUGGCGGAAAUUAUUGACAGCUCCUCUGUGAUCUCAACAUUAAAAAUCGAAGAUGAUGUUCAAAGCCCGGUGAGUUUCAGUGUCUCUGAGUUUCUGCCAACAGCUGCAAUAGACAUCAGCAUGGAGUCUCGGUCAUCAUUUACAGAAGAAUAUUCUCCAUCUCAAACAAAUUCACAGCUGAAUCAUUCAAAAGUGGAUACUCAUUCAUUUUAUGAGGGAACUUUGAUGCCAGAUAUUACUACCACUUCGGUCUCAGUUACCUCAGAUGUAGACUGGCUUUUUUUAAAUUUGUGAGGUUAACUUGUACAGUAUGAACGUCAAUGGUAAACGUCUUUAGCAGACGGCAGCUUGAAGUGUUUCUCUGUUCUGUAGGUAGAUGGCGCCAGAUCUGUUGUCACGUUCAUUUUGCAUUAAAUGUAAUGAAUGUAAAUUCUGAGCUUCGUUGUUGUUGUUGUUGUUGUUGUUUUUUCAUUACCUCCCAUGUUUACCUCCCAACAGCAUAUGAUGUUGGGAGAAAUAUUAAUUAUACUUAAAUAUUACUUAUUUCUUGCUUGUAUAUUUACUUUUGUCAUGCAAUAUAAGCUUAUUAUGAUUUUUAGGUGUCAAAAAGUAAUAUUUGCACUCAAAUUUAGAUAAUAAAAACCAUUUUUGCAGUCAAACUGCUCAAAUCAUAUUGCAUAAAAAGUCUAAAUUGAAGUUCCAAAAUUGACAUUUCUGAGUGUUGCAGACAAACUAUGAUGUUGUUUGAGCUGUUUAGGAUAAAACAAUUUUAACUUCCCAUUUUAACAUUAAUUUAUUUUUCUUUAAUUUUAGUAUUGAGAUUAGUACUAUACAUUUUUUAAAUACAAUUACUAGUGUUUUUUAGUUUAAAGAAGUGUUUAUGUAACCGGUUCUGCAUUGUACUGUCUAAUUUUUAAGUGGGAGAACUAGACUGAUCAGAAGUUGUGACUGCUCUUUAAUCUCACUCCUCUCCUGUGUGCAGUCAGUGCAGAAAGAGAAAGUGCAGCGCAUUUAGCAUUCACAUGUUUCAAUUAGAAAAAAAAAAAAAAUAAAAUCCUCAAUUUAAGGGAAAACAAAAAUAACAAAGGAAAUGUAGAAAAUAGAGUUUUAAAUAUUAUUUAAACAUUAAAACUACAUUUUUAAAGGUAGAGCAGAAAAGGAAGAGGCUGGUGCAAAACAGGAAGUUAAAACUAAAGCUUCUCUGGAGAUUUAAAGGAGAAGACUCAAACACUAAUACACUUCAGUUAAUACUUAACACACAUUUUGUGUAAUUCUAUAAAUAAAGUGAGCAAUUCUUUCCAUGCCUGUUACACUUACUAGUAACUGGAUGUAUCACAUCAGGGACUAUACUGUGGUAUAAAUAAAAAUGAUAGUAAUAAGGACGCAAAAGAUAUCUAAGACAGGUUUUUAUUAAAUCCACUAGUAGGUUUUGUCAACAGAAUUGAU